GAUGAACGUUGGCGGCGUGCCUAAUACAUGCAAGUCGAACGAAGACUGUAGUAAUACUGUCUUAGUGGCGAACGGGUGAGUAACGCGUGGGUGACCUGCCCCGAAGUGUGGGAUAACAGUCCGAAAGGAUUGCUAAUACUGCAUAAUAUCCAAGAGAUUAGAUGCUUUUGGAUUAAAGGAGUAAUUCGCUUUGGGAGGGGCCCGCGUCCCAUCAGCUAGUUGGUAAGGUAAUGGCUUACCAAGGCGAUGACGGGUAGGGGACCUGAGAGGGUGGCCCCCCACAAUGGAACUGAAACACGGUCCAUACACCUACGGGUGGCAGCAGUAGGGAAUAUUAGUAAUGGGCGAAAGCCUGAUCCAGCCAUGCCGCGUGAGCGAUGAAGGCCUUAGGGUUGUAAAGCUCUUUUGCCGGGGAUGAUAAUGACCGUACCCGGAGAAUAAGCCACGGCUAAAUUCGUG
rnacentral:rRNA from 1 species